AUAUCGGAUUAGCUAGUUGGUGGGGUAAAGGCCUACCAAGGCGUCGAUCCGUAGCUGGUUUGAGAGGACGACCAGCCACACUGGGACUGAGACACGGCCCAGACUCCUACGGGAGGCAGCAGUGGGGAAUUUUGGACAAUGGGGGCAACCCUGAUCCAGCCAUCCCGCGUGUGCGAUGAAGGCCUUCGGGUUGUAAAGCACUUUUGGCAGGGAAGAAAAGGCUCUGGCUAAUACCUGGAGCUGCUGACGGUACCUGCAGAAUAAGCACCGGCUAACUACGUGCCAGCAGCCGCGGUAAUACGUAGGGUGCAAGCGUUAAUCGGAAUUACUGGGCGUAAAGCGUGCGCAGGCGGUUCGGCAAGAAGGAUGUGAAAUCCCAGGGCUUAACCUUGGAACUGCAUUCUUAACUGCC
rnacentral:rRNA from 1 species